UCUGCCAGCAGCACUGCGGUCGGAGGAUCUGCGGCUGGUCUCUGCCUGCUGUCCGCUACCACUUUGGCCUGCUGCUGCCACUCUGGCGCUGGGAAGUCUGUAACGCUGCUCUCUCUUCCCCGUCUUGGGAUAGCCGGUACCAAAAAUUCAUUCUACGAUACUCGAUUCAGCCACUAGACUGUGAGGUCCUUGAGGGAUGACAGUGUCUUCAUCUCCAAAACCCAGCCUGGCACAUUAGUAGGCCUCAGAAAUGUUCAUUGGAUGAAUAAAUACAUAACUCACCAACAAACAUUUAUUGUGUGCCCACUAAGGUAGUGAGCCUGGACUUCCAAGAGUUUGGGGUUCUCCUCUCUAGCCCUCCCUAACCUACUACACAUUGUCUUGGUAAACUGCCUGGCUCUUUUAUUCAGGAGUACAGAACAAAAGGUCAUAAUUGCCUGACAUACAUAGAAGGACCUCUAAGAAAUCAAGUUUACCUGCAUUCAAAUACAGGAAUAUUGAGAUCUAAAGAGGAAAGGACUUGCAGGCAGCUAAAAAGGUGCCAAUAAAUGCGAUCAAAACCCAUGCCACUGGUAAAGAAGUAUAUUGAGCCCUGCCUGCCCCAGUGAGAUUACUAGAGAAUUCGGAGAGACUCAAAUCAGCAUCUUGCAUGUGGUUGUCAAACCAUUCUGAAGUCUUGGCUAAAUUGUAAAGGAUAUCUUUGAAAAGCAUUUUCAGAGAAUUCACCAGAUCUUCCAUGUGAAUGAACAUGCAGUGGGAGAAGGGGUCCUCUCAGCGAUUGAGAUUUAGAAAAAAUUAAUCCUUCCAUUGAAAUCUUAAAAUGUGAUCUGGAUAAAGGAAUGGGUAUCUUAGUCAAGGAAGUGAUUGUUGAAUAUGGAGGAGUUGCAAUUUGCAAAUGCCUGCAGAGUCCAGAUGGUGUAUGUCAACAUAAGAAACAUUCAAACCUGUGGAGAAUUUUUGUGAAUUUAUUUGAGCCAAACUGACAACUGCUGAGAAGCAAAACUACAACGAAUUGAAAAAAUGCUCCGGAGAAUGGCAGUUUUACACCUUAUUUUAUACAUCGCAAUCAAAAGGGGAGGUGUAAGGGGGUUACAUGAAGUCCACUGGUGACAGAUUAGGGAGGGGGGAGAAAACAAAGUGGGGAAACCUCUGGGAUCAGAUAAAAAAUAAAAUGAUACACACAUAUUUCUUACACUACUGGGUACAACAUAGUUAACAGUCAACAGUUAACACGAUAAGAGUAACAACAAGGGGAUUUGUGAUCUCCCCAUGAUGCUGUGCCUGUGCUUUGAGGGCCUGGUAGAAGGAAGUUUGACAUUCCUAAGGUCUGUUAGCAUAGAUGCAAAAUCAACAGACAGGCUCAGUUAAGGUAAAGAUUAACUUUUAUUAGAAAAAAUACCCGCUUAGGACACGACUACCCACCAUGAACUGCUUUUAGUUAGAAAGCUUUCAUUUCAGACCAUGUUACAUGGCUACUGUAAGUCUCUGAGUUUGUAAGGCCACUACGCAGACCUCCCCUGAGCUAGUCAGGUUUAGUGUGGCCCCUUUUCUUCCACAGGUACAUGUGUAAAAUGGUUCUGAUAUUUAUUUCCUUCCUUUUUCUUGAAACGCUGCUUUGGGUUUCUUUUUUAUUGUUGGUUUUGUUUUGUUUUGUGUUGGGCUUUUCUUUUGUUUAUCUACUUUUGAUAGAGACACUGGAAAACAGAUUACUCUUAAAAUGAAAGUAAGAGUGCCAAUGUAAUGGUAAAGAGAAACUGACGCUUUUAAGAGAAAUACAGUAGGCAGUGUUUGGGAUUGUGGUCCACUGGAACAUGCACCUUUCAUCCAAAGGAGGCUUUUUACUUCUUGGCUCCUGCUGAUAGUUGCCCAGUGGAAAUACAGCCCAAUAUUCACAGUAUUUCCAUCUUUCUACAAGGAACCUGAUUAUGAGCUGUUAGCUUAAUUUUUUUUAGUGCCACAGGCCCACAAGGUGUGUUUUAUAAAUGCUUUUAUAAACUCAUAGCUUUUUCUUCUUUGUAAUUUUGGCAUAUUUAUAGUGUUACCUUUUUUCAAUGUGGUAUGAAACAUGGCUGUUUCAUACUCUACCUGGACAGUAUUUGAAACUAGGUCACAGUUUUGAAUGGAGUUGUAUAGAUAAGAAUAGAAUAGAUUAGGGAAAAAUAGAUUAAUAUAGAAUGUAAAUAAGAAAACACUAGCCUCUACCAGGCAAAGGGUAAGUACUUUGUGAAAGUUUUGUCCCAGCUACAUGUUUGUAUGUAUGUGUAUCUUCGGCCCAAUCUAAUUGUAUUUCUUACUGUGGAUUAAAUGAUUUUAUAAGACUUUGUGAAACACUGAGCAAACUGGCAUCCUGUGGAGUAAACCCCUUCUGUAGAUAGGUCUCCUUUGGCCCACACUGUCUCUUAGAAAUUUGAUGGUUGCCGGAGAUGGGGGAGAGGGGGGAAAUGGGAAGUGUUUUAAUGGGUAUAGAGUUUCAGUUUUGCAAGAUGAAAAACAUUUGGAGAAUGUUUACUAAACAAUGUGAAUAUAUUUAACACUGUUGCACUGUACAUUUAAAAUGACUAAAAUGGUAAAAAACAGUAAGAAUAGCUCAUUAAACAGCAAAUUCACACAAGUCAUCAGAAUAUCCUUGGACAUAUUAAACAUAAUAUCUUCAAAUUUAAAGGAAGUUGUAUGACCAUCUUUGAUGCAAUCUUCCAUUUCUGUAUUUGAAGGGGCAGCAAACUAUAGCCCACAGUCCAAGUGUGGCCCACUGCUUGUUUUUUUGUUUUUGUUUUUAAGAUCCUAUGAACAAACAAUAGUGUUCAAAUUUCUUAAUGGUUGACAAUAACCAAAAAGAGAAUAAUAGUUCAUGAUAUGCAAAAAUUACACAAGAUUGAUUUCAGUUUUAUUGGAACACAGCCAAACAUUUAUUUAUGUAUUGUCUCUGGCUGCUUUUAUGGUACUGGUGGCAGAAUAGGGUGGUUGUGACAGAGACCAAAUGGCCUGCAAAGCCUCAAAUAUUUACUAACUGGCCAUUAACAGAAAAACUUUGAAGUUGCUGUAUUGCAGCAGUUGCCAGAUUCCUCACAAUAUCAUCUUUGACGACUUUAAAUGCCCAAUUAACAGCUAUGUCAUGGACCACUAGUGACUAUUAUCAUUCUAUUCUAACAUUGGGAGAUUCUUACUUAUUCCCUGCUGUGACACCCUCACCAAUUCUGGAAAACUCACCUUCUCAGUCAGUUUCAGUUAUAGCUAGAAUUCUGUUAGCAAUUUCUGUUAUUUAUUUUCAAGAAACAGACUUCUGUUGAGCCAGCCAGGCAGUUGGGAUCGUCCAUGGCUGUGUAUGGCCAGCCUUUAAGGUAGACUAAGAUCCCAAAUAAAGAAAAAAUUGUAUUUGAAUAGAAACAAUUAAAAAAUGAAGAAAAUAGCCCUAACUGGUGUGGCUCAGUUGGUUGGGUGCAGGUCCACAAGGCAAAAGGUGUCUGGUUCAAUCCCUGGUCACAGCACAUGCCUGGGUUGUAGGUUCUGUCCCUGGUCCAGGCACAUGUGAGAGGCAACCAGUCAGUGUUUCUCACAUCAGUGUUUUUCUCUGUCCCUUCCCCUCUG